UGCAGGAGAAGGAUUCCGUUUCCACUGAGCAGAUGAAAACAACCAAAGUUCAAAUAACUGAUUCAGCUGAGCUCAACCGGUGUUGGUGUCUGGAGUAAAGUUGAGAAGUUAGAAUACUGGUUAAGGAAGAGAGAUGUGGAGUCUGACUGUUUGAAUUCUGGAACUGUCACAGUCGGAUGUUGGUGUGAUGAAUCU
rnacentral:lncRNA from 1 species